AGUCACUGACAUUAGAUACCCCCGUAGUCCCAGCCGUAAACAAUGUGCGUUAGGUAUGUCGGUAACCACGUGUUACUGAUGUGCCGAAGAGAAAUCGUGAAACGCACCACCUGGGAAGUACGGUCGCAAGGCUGAAACUUAAAGGAAUUGGCGGGGAGCACCACAACAGGUGGAGCCUGCGGUUUAAUUGGAUUCAACGCCGGACAUCUCACCGGAUAAGACAGCUGAAUGAUCGUCAAUCUGAAGGUUUUACAUGACUAGCUG
rnacentral:rRNA from 1 species